GGGGUUGUAGCUUAGUGGUAGAGCGCUUGUAUUGUAUGCAUGAGGCCCUGGGUUCGAUCCUCAGCACCACA
rnacentral:tRNA from 1 species